UUAGGGCCCCUCCUCAACCCUAAACCCUUAGUGCCCCUCCUCAACCCUAAAACCUUAGGGCCCCUCCUCAACCCUAAACCCUUAGUGCCCCUCCUUUACCCUAAACCCUUAGUGCCCCUCCUCAACCCUAAACCCUUAGGGCCCCUCCUCAACCCUAAACCCUUAGUGCCCCUCCUCUACCCCUAAACCCUUAGGGCCCCUCCUCUACCCUAAACCCUUAGUGCCCCUCUCAACCCUAAACCCUUAGGGCCCCUCCUCAACCCUAAGUCCUUAGUGCCCCUCCUCAACCCUAAACCGGGCGACGAUGGCGCAUGAAGUAGAGAGGGAGCACUGGGAACCGCAAGGUUAGUGGUUCAAACCCUGGCUGCUCCAUGUCCCAUUGUCCCUGAGCAAGACACCCAACCCGUAAUUGCGCCCCGGGCCAAAUGUGAAAAACCAUGGGUUACAAAUGCAAUGUAAGUCACUUUGGAUAGAAGCGUCAGCUAAAUGCUAAUGUAAACCCUUAGUGCCCCCCUUAAACCCAGAACCAUUAUUGUCCCUUCUUAACCAUAAGUCCUGAGAUGAGGUCAUUUUUUUAGUCAGGUUUUUACUGUUUUCUUGUUAAAACAUCUUUACUGACUAAAUUAAAUAUUUGCUGAAUGAAUGAAUAAACGUCUUGUGGGUUUUUCCCUUCGGUCUCUAAUCCUUAAUGUCCCUGUAAACUCAAAUAUGUCUCAUGUUGUGGAGGCACAUGACAUUCGUCAUGCUGAGGUGCAGCUCUCUGUCUCCAGCGCUGCAUUCGACUGGUGGAUUCACUGCCAACACAACCUCCGAAUCCCAUUCACUGACUCUCGUUUCAAAUUGCAGGUGGUGUCCUGGGUGAUAUUAAAGUUUCUGUCAGAGCACAAUGCAUCAAGGACGUGUAUUUGUUAAAUAAGAUCGGACGGGAAAAUUGAUUCUUUCCUGGCGUCGUGUGCCGAGAGACGCUGAACUAAAUGUCUCCAUCGGCCGAGUGUCAAAUGAGCUGCUUGUAAAACCAAGGCUCCAUUCUCACUAUCGGUCAUGUGACACGCAGAGGACGUGUGGUCACAUCACCUCGGCUCAAAAGCUCUCCAGGUAAUUUGACACACAAUUCAUU
ensembl:lncRNA